GUAGGGUGCGAGCGUUAAUCGGAAUUACUGGGCGUAAAGGGUGCGCAGGCGGCCCCGCAUGUCAGGCGUGAAAUCCCCGGGCUUAACCUGGGAAUGGCGCUUGAAACUACGGGGCUGGAGUAUGGCAGAGGGAGGUGGAAUUCCACGUGUAGCGGUGAAAUGCGUAGAGAUGUGGAGGAACACCGAUGGCGAAGGCAGCCUCCUGGGCCAAUACUGACGCUCAUGCACGAAAGCGUGGGGAGCAAACAGGAUUAGAUACCCUGGUAGUCCACGCCCUAAACGAUGAUGACUAGUUGUUGGAGGAGUUAAAUCCUUUAGUAACGCAGCUAACGCGAGAAGUCAUCCGCCUGGGGAGUACGGUCGCAAGAUUAAA
rnacentral:rRNA from 1 species